ensembl:lncRNA
AUGCGGAACAUUUUUUGCAUUAGCAUCAUCAUCAGCAGGAACAAAGGUUCCUCUUCACACGGAGGGAAGAGGGAAGGGCGGCAGUGGAAGGAAGGCGGCACUGCCUUGGAAAUGGCAGAGGGUUUUCCUCCCUCUCCUUCCAAUUGGGCUCAGCCAUUCCACAGCCUCACGCCCAGAAGUGUGGGCGGCAAUGGGCCACACCAUUGCAGACACACCAGGGUGGGUGGGUAUGGUGUAUCCUUAUCCGCUGUGGCACUUUGUAAAGGGGAAGGGGAGGGGGUAGCGUGAGGGAAUAACGGGCCUCCUUUCCCUCCCUCUCUCAAGCGGCUCCUUGUUCAGCUGAUUGGUGGAUUUUUUCCUUCACGCAGGAGGGGGUGGGGCCAGGGGAGGUUUUUUUUGUGCAUGAGCAGUAUUGCCUUUUAGCUUUUUUGGAUGAUCAAGUCCUUGUUGUUGUGUGGGGUUUUGUUUUUUUUUUUAGUUUUUUGAGUGAUGGGCACUCAUUGGAUUGAUAGGUGUAUUGUGUCCAAAUUUCAUGUCUAUUUGUCCAGUGGUUUUUGAGUUAUGUUCCACCCAUGAAUGAACAUUACACUUUUAUAUAUAUAGAUGUCCAAAAGGUAAGACUGCAAACUUAGUGCUCAUUUGGCUGUCAUGCCUAUAUUUAUUGAUUUUAACAUACUGGAUCAUUUUACUAUGAGCGAAUUGAAUUCUGUUUGGUCUCCAUUUAACGAUCAAUAGAUUAAGCUGAGUGAGAGACCAUCCAAACUGUAGUUAUAGCAGUAUGUCACCAUCGUAACUACCUUGGCUCCAUUCUAUAGAAUCUCUAGAUUUGUAGUUUAUUCUGGGACAAGAGCUCUCUGACAGAUAAGAGAAAAUAUUUCACAAAACAACAAAUCUCAAAAUUCUAUAGCAUUGAGCCAUGACAGUUAAUGGGGUACUAUAAUUCUGCAUUGUGGAUACAGCCUUGGUUUGUUAGUGUCAUGUUAUUUAAAAUGUAUAUAUCAAAUUUUCUACUACGGGGGUGGCAUUGGAAGCAGCCUACAGCUAAUUAUGAAACCCAUGAAACAAAGGCUAUUAUUUAUAUUAGAGUUGUACAACUAUGCUGACUAUUUAAAAUGAUGUAUGUCAGCCUGCUUGAAUCUAAAUAUCUUUAAGGGAGAGCAAGGAAUCUCAUCAUCUUCACAGGCCUGUCUAGUGAGGACAUGGUUUUCUUGUGUUAAUAGAUGAAGAAGCCCUUGUCUAAAAGCAUCAGAUCACAUAUGAUCUUGGAAGCUAAGCAGAGUUGGAUCUGGUUAGUACUUGGAUGGGACACUGCCAAUGAAUAUCAAGGUUUAUAGGCCAAUGCAAUUUUCUGAAUCAGUAUCCCAAAUAACCCCAGGAACAGGCCUAAAAAUGAAGACACCAAGGCACCCCCACUUCCAGGUGCCACAUGCAAUUGCUCUGCUCAGGGGGAGGGAGGGGGAGGAGAAGCAGCAGUCAGGAGGCUUGUUGUCGUGCCUUUCAUGGGUAGUCAGCCUCUCCCCUCCUGACCUCCCCAUUGCCUAUAAGAGGGUUUCACAAAACCA